rnacentral:rRNA from 1 species
UAGGGAAUCUUCGGCAAUGGACGAAAGUCUGACCGAGCAACGCCGCGUGAGUGAAGAAGGUUUUCGGAUCGUAAAACUCUGUUGUUAGAGAAGAACAAGGACGUUAGUAACUGAACGUCCCCUGACGGUAUCUAACCAGAAAGCCACGGCUAACUACGUGCCAGCAGCCGCGGUAAUACGUAGGUGGCAAGCGUUGUCCGGAUUUAUUGGGCGUAAAGCGAGCGCAGGCGGUUUCUUAAGUCUGAUGUGAAAGCCCCCGGCUCAACCGGGGAGGGUCAUGGGAAACUGGGAGACUUGAGUGCAGAAGAGGGGCGUGGAAUUCCAUGUGUAGCGGUGAGAUGCGUAGAUAUAUGGAGGAACAACAGUGGCGAAGGCGGCUCUCUGGUCUAUGACUGACGCUGAGGCUCGAAAGCGUGGGGAGCAAACAGG